AGGAAGGAAGGAAGGAAGGAAGGAAGGAAGGAAGGAAGGAAGGAAGGAAGGAAGGAAGGAAGGAAGGAAGGAAGGAAGGAAGGAAACCUAUGGCAGCUCAAAGCAUUUUGCAGAGAAGGACAGGAGGAAGCAUCAGAUCUCUCCCAAGUCCUGUCACCUUUUUCCAGUGCAGGAUUUAUUUGCAUAAAUUAACAACCAGAGCUACUCACAAUUUAUGCAGGCACCCAUGUACAAGUGUCAGGUCUGGUUUACCUCGGGCACACUUGUUACAAACUCACUUGUUACAGUGAAAACAAGUCCUUUUCAACUCUCUCAUUGUGCAGAGAAAACAUUUUUGUUCUUCUGCAAGGGGGAAGUGCCCUUUGGUGACACAAAUAGCUACUUAGAGGUGUAGAUGGCCUAUAAGGGUGGCUUGAAAAUCAUUAGCGAAAGCUAUUAAUGAAAAUAAUUUUCAAAGUGUACUUCCAGUGGGAUGCAAACAAAGCAUGAGGUGCACCUGCACCAGGGUGUCAGGACACCAACCCACAGCCUGGUCAGACCUGGCAUAGCCUUGUCAGGACAUAGCUAUCCUGACUGGGAUGUCAAUACUUCUGCAUUCCAUAGGCUGUUAGUUGCCCCCUGACACAUUCCCUGGCUGGCAAAUUCCAUGUUCCCUGCAUCGUAGGUAUCUCAGGACUGAAGUUCAGACUGAAAAGCUGUAAUUCCUUCAGCCACACACAAAUGAGGAAAAGAAUUUUUUUCUCUAAAAGUCAGAUCCUCCAUGAAAUGUACUUCCCAGAGCUUUCUGGCAGCAAGAGUGAAGUCAUAACCACAGCUUGGAAUGGAGAGCUGAAAGCGCCCCAGAAAAAGGAAGAAGCAGGCUCAGUGAAUGGAGAUGAAACCCCAGAAGUUCCUGUGCCAGCAGAAGCUGUGAGAGAGGGGAGGUCACUGCACUGCUUCUCGUGUGCUUCACCUGAGUGUCCACACUCAGGGCAUGGAGCCAGUGGGAGACCUAGAUGUCCCUCGCAGCUCUUCCAAGUGGCAGAGAAGCAGCCCACUCCCCAUUCACAAAGGGAUUGUUGACCCAGGAAGGGUUUGCUGGGAUGGGAAAGGUCCUGAGGGACUGACAGC